rnacentral:rRNA from 1 species
UACAGAGGUGGCAAGCGUUGUUCGGAAUUACUGGGCGUAAAGGGCGCGUAGGCGGCCUACUAAGUCAGACGUGAAAUCCCCAGGCUUAACUUGGGAACUGCGUCUGAUACUGGGAGGCUUGAGUGCGGGAGAGGGAUGUGGAAUUCCAGGUGUAGCGGUGAAAUGCGUAGAUAUCUGGAGGAACACCGGUGGCGAAGGCGGCAUCCUGGACCGACACUGACGCUGAGGCGCGAAAGCUAGGGGAGAAACGGG